rnacentral:rRNA from 1 species
UACGGAGGCUGCGAGCGUUAUCCGGAAUCACUGGGUUUAAAGGGUGCGUAGGCGGCUCGGUAAGUCAGUUGUGAAAGCGCCUUGCUUAACGAGGGAGGUGCGAUUGAUACUGUCGAGCUUGAAUCGGGAUGAGGCAGGCGGAAGGUGGCAUGUAGCGGUGAAAUGCAUAGAUAUGCCAUAGAACACCGAUUGCGAAGGCAGCCUGCCGGGCCUGUAUUGACGCUGAGGCACGAAAGCGUGGGGAGCAAACAGG